ACAUCAUCACAAACACCAUGCAGAGAGAGUUUUUUUGUCUAAUUAGAUAAUUAAUGACAUACAUGAACAGAUACACUGGGUGAACUAUGUGGUCAUCACCCCUCUGUCUAAUACUCAUCGCAAGCACCAAAAUAAAUUAUAUUGAGUCUAGUUUUGUAUAGAAAGCCCAACUGAUGAUGCUAGCAUAACUUCCAAAAGUCAGUCUUGACAGGUACUCCCAUACUACUAACCUGAAAGAAAUGAAAAAAAGAUUACUAAAAUUAUGAAGCAAACAAUUAAGCAAAAGAGAAGUUUUCUCCAACCAGAUUUUUUUUCCUUCUAAUUACCAACAGAGAAUUAAUUAUGUCCUUGUUAAGCCCAACUGGUGAAGGGAGUAUAACUUCCAAAAACCAGUGUUGGCAGGAACUCCUAAACUACUAACCUGAAAAAAGCAUAUCCAUAUAGAGAUGAGAGCCGAAAAACCUUUAGCCAAAAUCGGUAGCAAAAAGAAAAUCCAUAUAGAGAUGGCAAGUGGAAGUUCUUUAUAAUGGGAGUCGGGAAAAAAUCCGAGUAUUUGGUGACUAAAUUAGCUACAGAAUAUGACCAAGCUACCACAUUAAUGUAUGCCUAAAGAAUACAUCUAAAAACAAAGGAUGAUGAAGUCAAGUGUGACAUACAUAUCACAUAUCGAUACCUAAUAUCUUAUUAUCAGAAUGCAUCCCAAUCCAUGAUGAUCCUAGCAACAUCUCCAAAAUGGCAAUCCUGUGUGGAUAGUAUAUACAUACUCACUUCACAGUGCAAUUUACUGUAUAUUUAAUAUCAUGUGUUCAACAUAUAGUACCCUAUAAGGCUAACAAAUCUACAUUACAUUUCUUUAGUACAAGAGCAGAUUUUGCGAAGCUUCUAAAAGAAAUUGAUAAUGCCUCAAUGGCUGAGCGCCCUACUUUAGGCAAACUUGUUCAAAGAAUUAAAAAUGAUUCAUUUUAUUUUUAGGAGAGAGAAAACUAUCACAAAAGGAACAAUAAAUACCUGAGAAUAAUUUAGUAGUAAAAUAGUUAUCAAGAUGUACCAUUUCCUCUGCAUGUCAGCUAUUCAGCACAUCAUGUGUUUAUUUGUUUAAAAACCAUGUGAAAUUAAACCACAAUUACUUCCAUCGAGAAAAACGGAACACAAAACGUAAUGGAGAGAUUAAGAAUAAAUAUACCAUGUCAUAUUAAAGAUGCAGGUUCCGAAUUCCUUGCACAUUCACACAAGGAGCUGGACCCCCAAAUUUGUGUCCUCGGCAUAGACAUGCACGCAAUGCCUGAACAUUCUUCUUAGAUUAGGAAUUUGUAGCAUAUGCACCCAACUUUAGAUCUAAUGAAAUUCUAGUACUAAUAACUUGUCUACUCGUACAAGGAAACCACACACACCAGAGGAGAGGAAAGGGAGAUGAAGGGGACCUAUUGCCGGGGCCGAAGUUGGGGAAGACCGAGGGGAGUCGAUUAGGAUGGAGAGCGGCAGGGCAGCGAGCUAUCCAGCGCCAACUGCGGGCGUGCCACCUUGGACCAUGGGAAGGCCACCACCAUGUAUCCGCCUUGGAGGCCAGGGACAGAGCCGGAGCCGAGGAAGAUCCAUGAGAAGAUGAUGG
rnacentral:lncRNA from 1 species